AGAAUAGUAGUUUAUAAAGAAUACUGCAUUGUGGUUGCAGAGGUAUAUAUUUAAUAUCUUUCUUC
rnacentral:tRNA from 1 species